rnacentral:rRNA from 1 species
UACAGAGGUCUCAAGCGUUGUUCGGAUUCAUUGGGCGUAAAGGGUGCGUAGGCGGCGCGGUAAGUCGGGUGUGAAAUCUCGGAGCUUAACUCCGAAACUGCAUUCGAUACUGCCGGUGCUUGAGGACUGGAGAGGAGACUGGAAUUUACGGUGUAGCGGUGAAAUGCGUAGAUAUCGUAAGGAAGACCAGUGGCGAAGGCGGGUCUCUGGACAGUUCCUGACGCUGAGGCACGAAGGUCAGGGGAGCAAACGGG